CAUGCAAGUCGAACGAUGAAACCGCUUCGGUGGUGGAUUAGUGGCGAACGGGUGAGUAACACGUGGGCAAUCUGCCCUUCACUCUGGGACAAGCCCUGGAAACGGGGUCUAAUACCGGAUAACACUCUGUCCCGCAUGGGACGGGGUUGAAAGCUCCGGCGGUGAAGGAUGAGCCCGCGGCCUAUCAGCUUGUUGGUGGGGUAAUGGCCUACCAAGGCGACGACGGGUAGCCGGCCUGAGAGGGCGACCGGCCACACUGGGACUGAGACACGGCCCAGACUCCUACGGGAGGCAGCAGUGGGGAAUAUUGCACAAUGGGCGAAAGCCUGAUGCAGCGACGCCGCGUGAGGGAUGACGGCCUUCGGGUUGUAAACCUCUUUCAGCAGGGAAGAAGCGAAAGUGACGGUACCUGCAGAAGAAGCGCCGGCUAACUACGUGCCAGCAGCCGCGGUAAUACGUAGGGCGCAAGCGUUGUCCGGAAUUAUUGGGCGUAAAGAGCUCGUAGGCGGCUUGUCACGUCGGAUGUGAAAGCCCGGGGCUUAACCCCGGGUCUGCAUUCGAUACGGGCUAGCUAGAGUGUGGUAGGGGAGAUCGGAAUUCCUGGUGUAGCGGUGAAAUGCGCAGAUAUCAGAGGAACACCGGUGGCGAAAGCGGAUCUCUGGGCCAUUACUGACGCUGAGGAGCGAAAGCGUGGGGAGCGACAGAUUAGAUACCCUGGUAGUCCACGCGUAACGUGGGACUAGUGUGCGA
rnacentral:rRNA from 1 species